AGGUAGCCUACGACCGAGAAGGGGGCGCUUACCACGGUGUGGUCAAUGACUGGGGUG
rnacentral:rRNA from 1 species